CAACCCGGCAUCCGUUUCCCCUCGCGAGAGCUCGAGACACCCCCCAUGUCGCGGUAGGAAGACCGUCCGAACCCUAACCCUAGCUCCAUCCACCGGCGUCCCCGUCCUCCUCCGGCCAUCCUCCAUGGACGCGAAGGACAUCCUCGGGCUCCAGAAGACCUCCUUCCCGUCCGCCCAGGAGAAGAAGUCGCGGCCGCCCAAGGAGCCGCAGCGCAAGCCCGAUGGCGUCUCGCGCGAGGUGUACGCGCUCACCGGAGGGGUCGGAAUGGCGCCGCUCAUGCCGACCAUCGAGGCCUCGCACCUGAAGCGCCGGCCUGCUGUCGAGAAGGAGAAGGUAGCAUGGCAGUGGCUACCUUUCACGUCAUCUGCACGAACUGACAAUCUGCAACUUUACCACUGGGUUAGAGUUGUAAAUAAUGUUCCACCAACUGGUGAUUAUGACUUUGCAAAAUAUAACACGAAGGUGGAUGUUCUUAAAUACACCGAUGAGGAGUACGAGAAAUAUUUAACUGAACCUACAUGGAGCAGAGAAGAAACAGACCAGCUAUUUGAAUUAUGUCAGCGCUUUGACCUUCGUUUCAUAGUAAUAGCAGAUAGGUUUCCAACUGCUCGCAGCGUGGAAGAUCUAAAGAGCCGUUAUUAUUCAGUUACUAGGGCCCUUCUAAUUGCAAGAGCUCGAUCAUUCGAUGAAGUUGCUGGAAACCCUCUUGUGAAGGAAACCUUCAAUGCUGCUCAUGAGACCGAGAGAAAACGUGCAUUGUCUGCACUCUUCUCCCAAACAAAACAGCAAGAACGAAAGGAUGCCGAGGUUUUAGCAGAAGCAAAACGCAUUAUGGAAUCUCGUGCUGCUAAUAAAAAUGUGGAAGAAGCCGGAGCACCGACGAGCAUCCCUAAUGCUGCGGUUCCUGCUGACGGUGUAUCUCCCUUGAGCAACAAUCUUCCAUCUUCAGCUGCUACACAUCCAGCUGCAGCAGCGAAUACCUCCAUACCUGAUACACUGCGGAUGCUUAAAGUGUAUUUGAGAACCCAUGCACUUGAUCAAAUGGUUCAAGCAGUAACUGCUUCAGCUGGCAUUAGAAUGAUUAAAAGGGUGGAUCAAACUCUACAAGAUCUUGGGGUAAAUUUGAAGCCUAAGGUCCCAACAAAAGCAGUUUGUGCCGAACAUCUUGAGUUACGGAAUGAGAUACUCACACUGCUUAACAUACAGAAGCAGCUACAAAAUAAAGAGGCUGAAGUUUUAGCAAACAGAGAAAGUUCAUUCACAGAGGCACCGACCACACCUAAGCGUUCUAAUAGAGAUAUUGAUCGACCCUUUGUCCCUGAUAUGGCUGGGUUUGGAGGUGAGAGAGCAGUCAAACGGGACCACAAGAGGAAGGCCACUGGAAGAUUUGAUGCACCCCCCUCACCAACCCAGGGCAAGAGGCCUCGGAAGAUGAAGGCGUCUGAUUGAUAGUCGGACACAACAUAUAACAUCGGGAUGUAGCCAAAUAACCAGAGCCGGCCCUGGGCCAGGGCAAGAAGGACGUGGCCAAGGAAAAUAGGACUAGUCUUCUGUACACUAGGUUAGCCGUUCGCCACCUGUUUUGUAAAAUGGAAUUAAUGGUGGUUUUAACCUUGUUGUUGAUUGUGGAAAUGAACUCUGUUUUGUGCAAAGCAAUGCGCACGACGAUUCAGAGCAGAUCAAGAGUUGGAACUGGAUUCCAGAAAUGCUUUGGGCACCCAUAUUAUCGAAUUCAUUAAGUUCAAAGUUGCUCCUCGCCGUGGGGAUGAUCCCCGUGCGAAGAUAAGCUUUUGAACUUCUUUAAAUAACAAAGUUCUACGGACAUACUAGCAUUGAGAUCCACCCAACAGGCUCAAAGUUACUCAGGUGGACAAUGCCCAUAAUUUUUUUGUGGAAGUUUAUAGUCUGAACAUGGGGUUGAGCAUCUAAAUACUGAAAUUUCACCAAAUCCUACAUGGGACGUACUCGUACAGUUCAGGCUGCCGAUCAGCUCAAAGUUGCUUCUUGAC
rnacentral:rRNA from 1 species